AUUGGGUAUGUGUGUGUUUGAAUACUCAUGACAUGAGAAUCCCGGAGAGUCUGAGAGCGCUAUGGGAACUUAUCUGAACGAUUCAAACUCUCAUCGCUGCAAACAACGAAAAUUUGACUCGGAUUUUCCUGAAUGAAAAACACUAAAAAAAUUUAUGUAAUGGACCAAUUUAUUAAAAGAAUUCGCGCCACUUAAUUUUCUGGGCAAUGGACCCUGGGCCCAGGCCCGACACUUCAUCCCUAAGGGAAAUAGGAUUUCGUUUCCUCUUUUUUGGGGGAAAGUCAUAUAUGUAACAGUA
rnacentral:lncRNA from 1 species